GGGGAAGCCAUAGUUAGGGUUUUCAAGCUUCCAAGCUCCAUAAUCAAGAAGUACGAAACUCGAGGUUAGACAAAGGGAAGAAUAAAGUUGAAGACUAAGUUGGUGAAUUUGGCUAUAAUUGGUACCGAGUAUUGCAAAGCUACUUCAAGGAUCCUAAAGAAGUCGGAGAUCGUCCACACUAUCAACCACAACUGCUCGGUAUUUUAUAUCGAAUCACGUUUGAGUUAUGGCAUGUAUAGGGAUUUAGUUAUUUUGUAUGUUUGUGAUUAUGAUUUUACUAAAGAAUGGUGUGUAAGUAUUUGAUGAUGUAUGGUUAUUAAAAUGGUUAAGUA